rnacentral:rRNA from 1 species
UAUAUGAGUUGCGGGCGCUGCACAAGGGCUGUAUGACUCCUAAAAACCCACUUCUGCAGCAUGGAAUAAUAAGAUAUUGAAUCUAAUUGCAUUAAAAACAAAGAGCCUUGUUCUCAUCGAAGUUUAUUUAGCAUUAUUCUCCGCAAUGUCGAGUACUCCGGAACUGCAGCAUGGAAUAAUAAGAGCGAGGGACCCUGAGAUCUCGCUACCACAUCUCAGGAAGGCUGCAGGCCGCAAAUUACCCAAUUCUAACACUUUGAGAAAGGUAGCAACAAGAAAUAACAAUACAUGGCGGUUAAAAUGCUGUAAUUGGAAUGAUAGAAAUUUAAACCCUAUUUAAAGUAUCAAUUGGAGGGCAAGACUGGUGCCAGCAGCCGCGGAAUUCCAGCUCCAAUAGCGUAUAUUAAAAUUGUUGCAGUUAAAAAGCUCGUAGUUGAAGUUCUGCUAAAAGUAACGGUCUGCUUUUAAUAAAAGUGAUAUCUUGUUGUGUAUUUAGCAAUGAUGUCCUUUGAAGUGUUUUUUACUUUAUUGAAUGCAGCAUAUUCAGGACUUUUACUUAUGAGAAAUUAGAGUGUUUCUAGCAGGCUAACGCUUUGAAUACUGCGCAUGGAAUAAUAAGAAA